rnacentral:rRNA from 3 species
UGUUUGAUGUUCUAACGUGGACCCGUAAUCCGGGUUGCGGACAGUGUCUGGUGGGUAGUUUGACUGGGGCGGUCUCCUCCUAAAGAGUAACGGAGGAGCACGAAGGUUGGCUAAUCCUGGUCGGACAUCAGGAGGUUAGUGCAAUGGCAUAAGCCAGCUUGACUGCGAGCGUGACGGCGCGAGCAGGUGCGAAAGCAGGUCAUAGUGAUCCGGUGGUUCUGAAUGGAAGGGCCAUCGCUCAACGGAUAAAAGGUACUCCGGGGAUAACAGGCUGAUACCGCCCAAGAGUUCAUAUCGACGGCGGUGUUUGGCACCUCGAUGUCGGCUCAUCACAUCCUGGGGCUGAAGUAGGUCCCAAGGGUAUGGCUGUUCGCCAUUUAAAGUGGUACGCGAGCUGGGUUUAGAACGUCGUGAGACAGUUCGGUCCCUAUCUGCCGUGGGCGCUGGAGAACUGAGGGGGGCUGCUCCUAGUACGAGAGGACCGGAGUGGACGCAUCACUGGUGUUCGGGUUGUCAUGCCAAUGGCACUGCCCGGUAGCUAAAUGCGGAAGAGAUAAGUGCUGAAAGCAUCUAAGCACGAAACUUGCCCCGAGAUGAGUUCUCCCUGAGACUUAGAGUCUCCUGAAGGAACGUUGAAGACGACGACGUUGAUAGGCCGGGUGUGUAAGCGCAGCGAUGCGUUGAGCUAACCGGUACUAAUGAACCGUGAGGCUUAACCUUACAACGCCGAAG